rfam:Schistosoma curassoni strain Dakar, Senegal genome assembly, scaffold: SCTD_contig0007814
ACACCGCCGAGGAGUCCCACAAUAGGACGAAACGGCUGUCCAGUGC